rnacentral:rRNA from 1 species
CCAAUAGCGUAUAUUAAAGUUGUUGCCGUUACAAAGCUCGUAGUUGAAUUUUAGGCCUGACCGGGCGGUCCGUCUUUGGCGAGUACUGUCCUGUGUCGGGUCCACCUUCUGGUGAACCAGUAUGUCCUUUAUUGGGUGUGCCGGGGAGCCAGGACCAUUACCUUGAAAAAAUUAGAGUGUUUAAAGCAGGCAUUUGCUUGAAUAGAUUAGCAUGGAAUAAUAGAAUAGGACGUUGUGGUUCUAUUUUGUUGGUUUCUAGGACCACCGUAAUGAUUAAUAGGGAUAGUUGGGGGCAUUAGUAUUCAAUUGUCAGAGGUGAAAUUCUUGGAUUUAUUGAAGACUAACUAUUGCGAAAGCAUUUGCCAAGGAUGUUUUCAUUAAUCAAGAACGAAAGUUAGGGGAUCGAAGACGAUUAGAUACCGUCGUAGUCUUUACCAUAAACUAUGCCAACUAGGGAUCGGAGGGCGUUAUAAUGACCCCUUCGGCACCUUGCG